rnacentral:lncRNA from 1 species
CAACCAUCAACCUUCAAUAGUGCCAACCAAACUUCAACAGUGCCAACCAGACCCCUCCAACGGAUGAAUUCCCUCCGGACCCCUCCAGCGGUCGACCUUCCACAGUGUCCUCCAGACUCCUCCAGCGGACGAACUUCCACAAUGCCUUUUGAAUUUCACUAUCGAUCGACCUUCUGUUGGAUUCCUCAUGCAACCAGACCUCUCCAACGGACAGUCUUCAGACAA